UACGUAGGGUGCGAGCGUUGUCCGGAAUUAUUGGGCGUAAAGGGCUCGUAGGCGGUUUGUCGCGUCGGGAGUGAAAACCAGGUGCUUAACACCUGGCUUGCUUUCGAUACGGGCAGGCUCGAGUUCGGUAGGGGAGACUGGAAUUCCUGGUGUAGCGGUGAAAUGCGCAGAUAUCAGGAGGAACACCGAUGGCGAAGGCAGGUCUCUGGGCUGACACUGACGCUCAUGCACGAAAGCGUGGGGAGCAAACAGG
rnacentral:rRNA from 1 species